rnacentral:lncRNA from 1 species
CUCUUUGCUUUUAAAGAUAUGCAUCCCCUAAAAGUUUUGAAAGUGUGCAUCUGUUUUAUAUCUGUCCUAAUUCACCAAAAAAUUGAAGAAGUCUUUUGUUUUCUUUUGUUUGGUAUCUGAAUUCCUAUGAUUUUUCAUUUAAAGAUGCGUUUUAAGUGGUUAGACUGAAUUGCUUACAAAACUAUCACUGUACGGUUGCAUUACUCUUUUCUAAUUACGUGUAAUCAGGCCAUUAUUAUACACACUGCUCAAACACGACUUUAUUUUGAGACUUGAAUUCCUGUGUUUCUUUCUUUUUAGUUCAUGCGCAGUGUAUCUUUAAAAUUGUAGAUUGAUCAGUUUUUGACAGCUGAGAUUUAGAUUGAGACUUCCAUCUAUGCGUUAAAUUUCUUCUCCACAUUUGAUUAUGUAUUUUCCAGUGACAAGAUGUUGUAGUUAAGCAACAUUAAUCCAAUGUCUCCGGCGCACCAGCGACAAUAUAUCCCUCCUCUAUUCAAAAUCAUUCUUUCAUAUGACUAAUUCACAUUGUUUUCUAACUUAAAGAUGAAAUUUUAUAUAUUUAUUCUGAAUUUGUUAUAAAAUUGUUAUUAACAGCAUAAAGUGGAAUCAAAUGAAGUUGAAUGGCGGGGCUGAGCAGCAAAAGAGAGGUAAUUGGGUUGAAAACCAGGAAGCGGUUGAGCCGCCAUCUCACCGCAGCCCCAAACGAAUCAAUAGACCACCGUGAAUGAUUUUGAUGACAUAGAAUGGUGCUGCUUGGUUCCAUCAAUCCCCCUAUCAUGUAAGCCACAUUCCCCUUAAACUAUCCUAUUCUUUUCAACUUUCAACAUUUUAUUUCAGAUAUCACAACGCUUAUAUUGCUCUAUGAAUAGAGUAAUUAUAUUUAACAUAUGAAAUUAUAAACUAUGAAUAUUUUUGCUUCAGUAUCAUUUGUGUCUUGGCCUUUGUUUCAAUUGGCCCCAUCCAAUUUUUAUUAUUUUUGUAAAUGUUUAUAGCAGAUAUCUGAAAUUUGCUUAUAGUGCACAAUUUUGCCAUUGUAGAUGUGUAUUUGUUUUCUUAAUGAGUAUACAUUGCAUAAUAUGAUAAAUGGAUUACGGUUGAUAGAUGUAUACAUUUGUGGGAUUAAAAUUUAAGAUGUCAUGAAAGCUUAUAAGUUGGUCUUUUAAUUGUUUAAUCAACAUAUAUGCAUUUAAUAUUUGUUCUCUCUCUCUCUCUCUCUUUUGUAAUCAUUUAAUGUUUCAGAUGUUUGAAGCAAAUGGGUAUUUUGCUAUAUGACUUUCUGCAUUUUAUUGAGACAUAAGGUGUCUUAAUAGAUGGAAAAGUUUAAAGCUAGACUAUGAUUUGUUUUUGUAAAAAGUUCUCUUAUGCAAGACUCUUCUCAUGAUAUUAUUUUUAUUCCUAUUAUAUGAUAGAUUGAAUUGAGGAUUAGUAUAUUCUACUACAAAAAGGCUAUUAAAUUCUUAUCCUUAUUCAAAAUCAGUAUAUCUUCUUCUUCUUAUUCCUAAACAAAGCUUUGUCGCCCUAAUUUUAACCUAAUAUUUUAGCAACUUUUCCCUCCUUCAAAACCUAACCAUAUUUCCUAAUUUCCCUCCUCCAAACCCUAACCAUGAUUUCCUAACUUCACUCCUCCUAAAACCUAUCUAAUUGAUUUCCAUAAACCAUAUCUCCUAACUCCCCUCCUCCAAACCCUCACCAAUAUAUUUUAAUCCUUUAUCCUAAACCGAGAUCUCUUUUUAAAACCAUACCUUUCACUUAAACCGAAAUUUCUACCUAUCUAAUUGAUUUCGAUAAACCAUAUUUCCUAACUCCCCUCCUCCAAACCCUCACCAAUAUAUUUUAAUCCUUUCUCCUAAACCGUAAUCUUUUUUUAAAACCAUACAUUUCUCUUAAACGUUCCUAAACAAAGCUUUGUUGCCCUAAUUUUAACCUAAUAUUUUAGCAACUUUUCCCUCCUUCAAAACCUAACCAUAUUUCUUUUUAUUUAUAAACCUAACAUUGUUGCCCUAAUUCCAACUAAUAUUUAACCUAAAAAAUUAUAGCCACUUUUCUCUCCUUCAAAACCUAACCAUAUUUCCUAAUUCCCCUCCUCCAAACCCUAACCAUGAUUUCCUAAUUUCCCUCCUCUUAAAACCUAAUUCCCCUCCUUUAAAACCUAACCAUAUUUCCUAAUUCCCCUCCUCCAAACCCUAACCAUGAUUUCCUAAUUUCCCUCCUCCUAAAACCUAUCUAAUUGAUUUCCAUAUUUUCUGUUGCCACAUUUUUUUCCUCACUUCCUCAACUCAUUUACCCUAAUAUAUUAUCUUUUAUCUUUUAUUUAUUAAAGUUAACCCGAAUGCUAAUUGUUGCCUUAAUUUAACUUAAAUUCAGUGCUUGCUUUUACUGUAUUACCCAUGUUUAAAAUAUCAAAUUGCAGAAAUCUCCUAUUUUUUUUUUUUAAAAAAAUUGUUUCCUACUAAACAGAUAAACUUAAAAAAAAGAAAAACAAAUCACUCCUAUUAACAAAUUGUUCCUAUUUUAUUGCAGAAAUUCCCAAUUCUUUUGAACGAAACAAAUCCCUCCUAUUUUUUUGAACAAAACAAAUCACUCCUAUUUUUUUUUUAACAAAACAAAUCAUUAUUUCCUGCUGCUUUUGCUAAUAGAUUUUGUUACUCGCAUCCUUGGAGGUUGACUGGUCUAAACUCCCAUAGAAUUUCUGAAUCUGCUAAUAUCAUUUGUGUAAGAUGAUGAUAUAUGCAAUGAUUUUCAAUGUUUUUUCUUUCUCCACCAUGUUUUGAUCUGUAGCUUUAUUUUACAAAUUGCAGAUUUUGUUGAUGUGGAUUUGGGGAUAUGCAGGUAUGUUUGUUUAUUUCACUUUCAUUAUGUAAUUGUUUCAUUCUAAUUAUUAUUUUUUCUUCCCUUUUUUUGAGUUUGUAUAGAAGUUUUUUUUUUUUUUUUUUAUAUAAAAUUGCCUCACUUUCUCUGAUGGUUCCCACUAUGUCGUUGGAUUUAUCACCAAGAAGCUGGAAGGGUUGGUUCUAUCCAGAAAGUUGCAGAUAGGCUUCGUUGUUACACUUGGUCAUGACUUCUUCAUCUCACUUCAAAAUUGCAAGUGCGUUUUCUCUCUCCAUGCGAAAAUUAUUAGCUUAUCUUACAAUGGAAUUGAUUUAAUUAAUUAAUUCAUUAAGUAUGUAACAAACAGGGCUCCACAAUGAUUUAAUUGUUUCAUUCUAAUUUAAUUUUUGUGUUUAUAUAGAAACAUUGUUAUUGUGUUAACAUUGACAAGAAAAAUCAAAUGGAUUUUUAGCUGCUCCUCCUCUUUUCUGUGACUAAGGUUAACCACACAUCUUUCUUUCCAUUCAAUUCCUCUAUUGUACAAAAUAGCUUGCAACAGCUUUUUAGGCUUCUUACAAAAUCAAAGUAAUUGUUAUAUGAUUGGUGUGGGGUUUGGUUUGUUGAUUUUGCAGUUCAGGAAUUUUCAAAUUCGGGGUUGAAAUAAGAGUAUGAGCAUUUGUUUAGUUUGAUUUUUGGUUAUUUGUAAUCCGAUGACUUUUUGAAUUGCAUUGCUAUCUAAUUUAUUAUCAUCUCUUUUUUUGUUUGUUAUAUUCUAGAAGGAGGUUUAUGCGGUGGUGGUUGUUGCAAGAAGGCCCUCGCGGUGAUAAUUUAUACGGUGGUGGUUGAUUAUACUGAUGUGACUGUGUCUUAGAUAUCCCCUGAGCUAUGCAAACUAAAAAUUAAGUUGUAAACUAUGAUUCAUAUCAUUGUUUUAAUAAGGAUUGGCCCAAUGCUUCAUGUGAUAUUCUAUUGGCUGAAUAAGGAUCUAUCUAAGCAUAUGAUUGUGUCUUCAAGAUAUGCUUAACUUACCAUUAACUAUAAGCAUGAUCAUUGCAAAACAUUAAUUGUAAAUCAUACCUUACCUACAUAAUAUAGCUAUAUAUUUCAUGUUAUUUUAAUUUACGGUUUUUAUGUGAUGUUGAACUCCUAAAUUACUAAUAUAUUGUGCUCAUCAUUGACCCGUGUGGUAGCACGGGUUAGCAAAUUAUGAGGUUUUGCUUGACAUGAAGGCAAUUUCCGUUAUCUGUCGUCUCAUUUGCAAUGACUAUUAACAAGAGUCAGGGUCGGUCGUUGAAACAUGUUGGUGUUUAUCUACCGUCUCCUGUUUUUUCACAUGAUAUUCUAUUGGCUGAAUAAGGAUCUAUCUAAGCAUAUUACUGUGUCUUCAAAAUAUGCUUAACUUACCAUUAACUAUAAGCAUGAUCAUUGCAAAACAUUAAUUGUAAAUCAUACCUUACCUACAUAAUAUAGCUAUAUAUUUCAUGUUAUUUUAAUUUACGGUUUUUAUGUGAUGUUGAACUCCUAAAUUACUAAUAUAUUGUGCUCAUCAUUGACCCGUGUGGUAGCACGGGUUAGCAAAUUAUGAGGUUUUGCUUGACAUGAAGGCAAUUUCCGUUAUCUGUCGUCUCAUUUGCAAUGACUAUUAACAAGAGUCAGGGUCGGUCGUUGAAACAUGUUGGUGUUUAUCUACCGUCUCCUGUUUUUUCACAUGGACAGUUGUACGUCGCAAUAUCACGGGUUACUUCGAGAGGUGGUUUAAAAAUAUUGAUUAAUGACGACGACGACGAUGAUAUCGAUGUUGCAUCAAAUGUGGUCUACAGAGAAGUUUUCCGUAAUGUGUAGUACUUUUUUGUGUACUGUUCAUUUUCUUACUUAUUGAAACUAUUUGCAUGUCAACGAACUUCAAUUUCCCUUUCAAAAUUAUAUGUUAUUUUAAAGUAACAGAAACUACGUACUAGAAUUAUGGAACAAUAACAAAGUCUUUGAUAUUGACAUUAUGCUUUGAUUCACGACAAUUUUUAGAUUCACGCGAACUACAGUGUCUUAUUUUUUCAGUGAAUAUUAUCUUUUUUAAAUGACAUGUGCGUUAGCACGGGUCAAUGGUCUAGUAUUCUAUUAUUAUCAUAUCAAUGAAAAUCAUUUCUAUGUUUUUUUAUGCUUUAAAAUAGUGGCAUUCUUGAUUUGUUCAUUUUGAUACUUAAAAUGUAAGCUUAUAGAUCUCAUAGUUGAUAAGAAUUACUAUUCAAAACUCUCAUUAUUGAUAAUUGUGUUUAAUCAAACUUUUUGAUUGAGAUUUUAAAUUUAUAUCUUAUCAAAUCUAUUACUCCUAAUGGUUUUAAUUUGUACCUCUUCGAACCCAAAUCUUUUAGUCGUCUCUACUUUGAUGUCCCUUUUGUGGUUGAAGUGGAUUCAUAAAGAGUGAAAUUACGAGAUAUUGAGGUAUCAGGUCUAUUUGGUUGUUUUUGUUGUGUCAUUUUCGGCUGCUUUGCUCUGUUGCACCUGUGAUUUUUGCAGUGGUUAGGAUGGUUUAUGCGUCUGGAAUUGGAUCAAGCUGCUUAAGUGUUGUGUGGUACAAUAGGUGAAAUAUUUCUCUGCAAUCGUGGUGUAGUAGAAUCAGCAUACAUUAGGACUUUUGCUGGUAUCUUGAGAUUUUUAGGGUCUGACUGUUGAAGUAUAUGGUCUCAUGUUAAUUGCCUUGAAGAAUUCCUAACUAUUGUGGAAUUGAAAGCAUAAAGUGGUGGUCCUUAUUAAGUGAUUGAGGUUGGUGGUUUGCUAUGGAAUGCCUCAGUAGACUCCAGGAAAUUUAGUGACAUUUUGGGAUUGACUUAGUACUAACACUAGCAUUGCAUCUUAGGACACUUGAUUUCAUUAGUCUUAUAUAGUGGUGUAAUCUGAUCUAAAUGUGUUUUUGGUUUCCCUUUUGAAUUUGUUGGUAGUCAUAUGAUGCACUUAAGUUGAGACUUCAUAAAUAUAUUGCAUUGAAUUGAAGGAAGAAAAAUUCAAAAGCUGUGAGUGUUCAUACUCCCAAGUUAUUGUCUUUUUUAUAUUCUUUUUUUAUUAUCAAUCAUUUACAGGUUCCAUGAGAUCAAGGACACCACUAUGAGUUAUGAAUUAAUCAAUGGAAUAGCUCUACUUCAUUGGAUAUGGAAUCCAAAGGAGUGUUUACAAAGGGGAUGACAGUUGAGAGGGCAAGCCGCGGGUCUGUUUUCCUGUCAGUUGCUGCUGUUAGGUGCUUUUUUCCUGUCAGUUUUUUCACUGUCUGCUGCUCUGGUGUGUGGCUUUGGCUGCAGUUUUUGUUUUGGUCCUGUUUUAGGCCUUCAUGUGUAGUGGUGAUUUUGAUUUGUUGGUUUGUAUUGUGAUGGGGAAGGGUGUUUUGGUUUCCUGUUGGUUGCUUGCUGCAUGCAUAAGGUUUCUAUUUUAGCAGGCACUAUACUUACUUAAAUAUGCUAAAUAUUAGUUUAACUUUAUCCUACAUAUACUGUAAUGUCUAAUGCUAUUUAUAUUAUAAUUGAUAUGCAGGUCAUUUGGAAACUUAUCAACAGUUGGAGGCAUUUUAUGUUACAUGACAGAUAGAUAUAGUAUAUGAACUAUCUUUAUAUGUUUUUGUUUAGAGGAUGUAUUAUGAUCGACUUAAGUGUGAACUAUUUUAUGCAUUAUUGAUCCUUAUGAGGUCCAUUUAUUGUACCUUUAACAAUAUUAAGUUUAUAUCGCAUUGUCUUACAUUAUCUGUUGAAUUAUUAAUCUCUUAAAAUAACACUGUUAAAUAUAUAUGACCCGGGUGGAUGAUCUAGUUAGUAUAUAAACAAAGCAUACAAACCAAGUACAUUCAUCAAAUUCUAUCUGAGCUUGCUCAUGUAUUGUAAACAUCAUAUUUUCUACAUGAGAUUGAAGAAGAAAUACAGAAAAGACAAAAACCCGCAAUAGACUCGAUACCAAUUAAAUAAGCAGAUAGAAGAGAAAACCACUUAGUCUGGCAGGCUCACAAUUCACAACCGCCACAAUUGGACUAGUGUCAACUUAACAGGACAAUCUCGUUCGUUUUAUUUAAUUAUAGAAAAAAUAUCAACUUAACAAUGCAAUUUCCAGUUCCAUAUAAACUUCCAAAUUUAGUCUAUCAAAACUCAAUUCUUCUCAAUAGCAAGGUGCUACAUUAAAUAGUAUAAUAUAACUCAAUUCUUCAAGAGCUUUUCAAACAUAACAAUCUUGGUAACCUAAAGUGAAUGAGAUGAUACCUGAGCAAGAUGACGUCCAGUGAUUACACCAACCCUUGCAGAUAAGUACUGAAAGAAGAUAGCGGCAAGGGUCAACAUAUCCUAUCGAAAUCAAAAGCGCGGGUAUAAAAGCCGGAAGUGCGCGAAUAAGAAAACCAGGAGGGGGCAUUUUACUCUUGGUCUGUUCAGAACUCAAUUGCUUAUUGUCUCUGCCUCCAGGAAGUUUUACCCCAAUAUUUGACUCAAUUGCAGUCUCUUUCACUAGUUCACGUUCACAGACAAAACAAAGAGUAGUGUUCCCUUACUUGCUGCAACCAUACAUAUACAAAAAAUCAAAAUUGAAAUUGAAAAGGAAGCGUUAGGGUUAGGGUUUAACAAAGGAGAAGAAAGUACUCACCCUUAUGACUUUGCCACCUUUGGUUUUCUUAACAAAGGACUUGUUGUGAAGCAUUGUGACGGUGGAUUGAAACGAGAUAUCUUAGUUGAAUGAAAUUGAGCUUCGAAGUGGAAGGGAUGAAAUUCAAGGAGCCGCGCUGGUUCGUUCCAUGACCUUAAAACCCAUGAACGGUUGCUUUUACACACUCUCUCUUAAACAGUUGCUCUUUUCAUUUACUUUUUUCCAUCAACGGCUAUUUAUUUAUUAUUAUUUUUUUAAGAAUUCAAGCUCUUGAUAAGAGACACCAUUUAAUUGUUUUUUAUUUAUUUUUUAUUCAAACCUCAAACGUUUUGGCGACUAGUUAAAUUGACGCUAAGUAAACUCUGCAGCAAGUUCACAACUGCUACUACUCACACCAUUUUCCUUUACAAAGUGAUUUGUCCAUUUAUAAGAAAAAAUAAAAAAAAUCAUUGGCUUUUUCUUCAAUUUCUCAAUUAUCAGAAAGUAGAUAUAAGUGUUUAUCUACAAAUUCAUUAAGAGAAGAAAAAUGCUGUACGUCAUUGGUCAUUUUUGUAAGGUAUUUUUUCCCGUAAAAAAAUUGUCUUUUGUGUGCCUCCUAUGUGUAGUGUAUGACUUUUUUUUGUAGUAUCAAACAUCUAAUUUUCUAGAGCAGUAUCAGAACAUCGUAUUUAAUAUUUUUGCCAAUGAGCCUCUCAAUAGUGAAUCAUAUGUUGCUGAUUUAGAGGUUAAGAACCUUACAUUGAAAUGGAAUUUGAGUCACAAGAAGAUGCUUAUUCUUUCUAUGCUCAAUAUGCUAAAUGUGUCGGAUUUGGUGUAUGCACUAAAAGUAGCCGUCGUUCGAAAAUUUCUAAACAAUUUAUUGAUGUGAAAUAUGCUUGCACGAGACAUGGUAAAAAACGAGAAUCGACGGUGCAAAAUCCACGUCCUUGUUUGAAGGUUGAAUGUGGGGCUGCCUUACAUAUCAAAAGAAAUUGUGGUGACAGAUGGGUGAUCCAUGAAUUCAUCAAAGAUCACAAUCAUGAUCUUUUUCCAGCAUAUGCGCAUUAUUUUCCUUGCCAUAGAAGAAUCAAUAAAGCUCAAAAGCAAUGUAUUGAUUAUUGAAACUUUGCAACAUGUUGGUGUGAAACCAAGCAAAUUUUUUGCCACACUUGCGAAACAACACGGAGGGUAUGAGAAAGUUGGUUGCUUGGAGAAAGAUAUUAAAAAUCUUUUAGAUAAGGAUCGUCGUUUGACUUUGGAAUCAGGAGAUGCAAAUGCAAUGUUGGAAUGUUGUACGCUUAUGCAAAAACAAAAUCCAAGAUUCUUUUAUGCGAUGGAUUUGGAUGAUGAUGAUGGUCGUCUGAAAAAUGUAUUUUGGAUGGAUGCAAAUGGUAUAGAUGAUUACAAAGAGUUUGGAGAUGUGAUAUCUUUUGAUACAACAUAUAUCACAAACAAAUAUAAAAUGUCAUUUGCUCCCUUCAUUGGUGUGAAUAAUCACUUUCAAUCAAGAUUGCUUGGUUGUGCAUUACUAGCAAAUGAGACCUCGGAGACUUUCACAUGGGUGAUGAAAACUUGGCUGAGAGCAAUGGGUGGUAAGAAAUUACUUGAUCCUAAACCAGCAAACACAAAAGGAGCUCCGAAAAGAAUCAAGAGUGGGAUUGAGAGAGGUCGUAAGAGAACAAGUAGUGACAAAGUGAAAAAGGUUAGAAUUUAUUGCUUUGUUGUGAUUUUCAUUUCACUAAACUUUCUUAAAAUAUUCAUAUUUAAGAUGAUUUCUCAUUGUUGGUUCUUUUCUUGCAUUUUUAGGAUUAAAGAAUCUGAAUUUGUUUUGAACACAGACAAGAAAAUAAUUUGUCAUUAAAUCACAUUCUACCUCAACAACAACUAUAACAACGACGACGACAUAAUGCAACCACAACAAUUUCAACAACAUAAUUGAACAUAAAUUCAACAAUGUAAUACCCCAAUAAUAAUUUAAACAACAUAAUUAAAACAAGAUAAGAUCACGGAUGAGCCAAACUAUGUACAAGCUCUAAAUCGUCGCGCAAUCCAGAAAAUUGUGGCGCGAUUUGUGUGAGUAUGAACACAAUAUAAGGGGUCAUUGUUCAAUUUUUUGAGUGGCUUCAAGAUAGAGAAUCUUAGGGUAACAAAUAUUGGUGUGUCGUUUUUACUCUUCCUUGUUAUCUUGUUUGAUCUGUUUAUGCUUAUAGUGUUGUUUCACGCUUGGAUUUAAGUCUGUUUGUUGUUGUUGCUUGAAACAAUUUUAUUGAUUACUCUGCUUCACACAUCUAAGUUUAUUAGUGCGAUUUUGAAUUUGAAUUCAAAAAAAAAAAAAAUGUUCCCAUAUUGUGAGUAUUAAGUUAAAUCACUUUCGAAAUAGUGUUUUAGAAACAAAAACAAAACUAAUUUAAAAGAAUAACCGACGAAAUAAGUAUCUUCCUAAAGUAGAAUUUGGUACAUCAAAAUCUGAAUUUUCCAACAGGGCCCUAUACACAGACCAUCCUACCAUAAAAAUUUGACAAAAACAAAAUAAGCAAAACACUUAAUAAUAAUAAUAUGGGAGGGAGUAAUGAUGAUUAAUGAUACCCACAUGAUGAAAUUUGUUUAAACAAAUGACAAAAGAAAAAGAUGAUUAGCAAAGGUUGGUUGGAAAGCCACGCUGUGUUAGGCUUUUUCCUAUGCUUGAAUGUCCCACCAUCACACCUCAUAACUCCUUUUUCUCAUGUGAAAUGGACCAUAGUCUAAAAAAUGUAGCAGAGGCCUCAACCGUCCCACAAUUAGAAAAUGUUGCAUUUCCUGCCAAUUCAGUCACACAUUUGUGGCAGCCAUACAUUUCAGAUCAUACAUCAAAUCAUAAGAUUGACGUUUCAAUUUUGUAAAUACAAUUUAAAACAUCAUGUUAAACUAUAAAUUACUGGAUUGAAUCUUCUGAAUUGCUUAGAAACAGAAAUGGAUUGCAUGAAAUUCAAAAUAUAUACAUAGAAUAGUACAUACAUGUUUAUACGUGUGAUAGUGAUUACACUUCAUGAGCUGAAAAAAAGCACUAGAGUUAAAAACAGUUUUUUUUUAAUAAUUAAUUAAUUUUUUGAGGGGUGUAAAUAAUUAAAAUGUAAAAACAGAUAAUUAGGAUGGUGGAGACUUGCACAAAUUUGGGAAAUGUGGAGCCCUGACAGUGUUCAGCCAUUUCAGGUGGAACCCCUUGUGUGGCUGAGCUUUCAUAGUCUGCUUUUACUCUUCUAUUAUUUUGUAUUAUGUUUAUGAUGAGAGUCUUCCUUCAACUCACUCACAUUUUGACUUUGGAAAAAUGUCCUUAGAGUAUGCAUGCUUGAAAUAGAAAUUAUAGUUUUCUUUACCGAUGCACUCCAUAAAUGAAUUUUCCAAAGAUCAUAGAUGUUGGUUGGUGGAUAAUGAUAAGAUAUUUUACAUUUUGUGUUUUAUUCAGUAAUUACGAGUUGUUUGAUCGUCAUCCAACAACUAAUAUCAGUUGAUUGUAGGACUUGGUAAAAUAUGGAUUCAUAAUUUUAGUGUUCAAAAAUAAAAUUAAGAUGCAUAAUAAUCAUGCAUGAAUUUUACCAUGAACCUUAAAUCUACCUUUGGAACAUUAAAUUUAUAAAGACAAGGCAAUGAGGUUAUUCUCGUUUUAAUGUGAAUAGCUACAUUUUUAUCUUGUUUCUAUCUUUUUAUUGAUGAACCUGCUUUUUUUUUUUUUGUUACAAGAUAAACCUGCUUUUAUUCAACAAAUUAUUAUUAAUGAAAUGAUAUGAUUUUUCUCCUGUAAAAAAGAAGAAAAAAAAACACAAGCUGUGUAUUAUUAAAUGUGUCACCCUACCAUACCAAAUAAUGCACCUGACUGCAUCACAAAAUAAUGACUUAAAAUAAAAAAUAAAAAUACCAAAAAAAUAAAGAUUCAAAGAUUAUCAGCUGGACGGUGCUUCAUUCUUCUUAUAUCCUAAGCAACAAUGACCCUACUUAUCAGGCUGCACAUACUUGAAUUGAAUAUUCUCAUUUUUUAUACUUUUUAGCUUAUAUAUGUUUUUAGUGUGAUAAAAUUGCGAUUUUUUAUAGUGCUGCAUAAAUUUUAUUUAAUAUCAGUCUCUACUUUUAUUAAUUUUUUCAAAAUAAAUUAGUGUUUUUUUAAUCUCUUCGUUUAAUCCCUAUAAAAUAAUACUAAGAAAUAAAAUUAAAAAAUUUAUGUAAAAAUUGUGAGUUUUAUAUUGAAUAAAAUCAUAUUCAACCAUACUUUCAGUUUUUUGGUGCCAAGUCAUCAUCUGUCGUGGAAGGAGCAAAGUAAAAAGGUACAUGAGACUGAAGAAGAAAGGUGGUAAUGUGAUUAGAAUUUUAGCUUUAAAAAGUUAUCAUACCACCCUGCCAUUUUCUCUUCUCCUUUUCUUUUGGACAUUCCUUUCAGCUUUCUCAGAUUUUGCUAAACACACCACCAUUCCUUAACAUACCCUUUUUCCUUCUGUCAACUUUUUCAUAACCAUUCAUUCAUUCAUUCAUUUUGGUCUAGUUCCUCAAUCUACAAUUUCAUGAUCAGAAGAAUAUAGCAUCAUGGUUAGUUUCUGAAUUAUGAGUUUGAGUUUUCUUUCUGUUAUUGUUCUCUUUUACUUUUUGUUUUUGGAUCAUAUACUAUAUAUUAACUUUUUGUUUUCUGGCUUGAUUGUUCAGGGAACACCUGUGAACAUCAUUGUUGGAUCACAGGUUUGGGUUGAGGAUCCUGAGAUUGCAUGGAUUGAUGGUGAAGUCACAAAAAUCAAUGGCACAAAUGCUACAAUCAUUACCACAGAUGGCAAAACUGUAAGAUUUUUACUUGAUCAUUAAACUGGAUUACUAAAAGCCGUGUCCUUAGGAAUUAGGAUUAUGGACACCGGACAUGCUACUAACACUAUAACAUGUAGAGACUAGUAUUUAAGAAGAUGAAAGUGAGUGAAUGUUACCACAUGCUUCAGUAUUGUGUCGGUGUCAAACACUUAUUGUGUAUACCUUUGAUCUGAAGUGCCGGUGCUACAUAGCUUAGUAAACUUGAUUAGAAUAAUUCCAUAUCUUAGAUGUUAAAUAAUAGGUUGUCACAGACAGGUGCAGAAUUCUGCUCUUUGACUAGAAUAUAAUGCCUACUUUGGAUCCAAAUGAUGAUAUUAUGCUUAUAUGAGAAUUGUAUGGAAUUCGAUCAACUUUAAAUUUGGUUUUUUUUAGUUCUUUGAAUGGACUUUCUGCAAGAUUUCAACCAAAGAGUUAUGAAAAUUUAAAAUUAUGAUAGAUGCUUAUGUGAUUCUGCUUCCGCAUAUAAAGCUUAAAACAUUAGCAAAUGUUAACUGAGAAUCACUAACAUCAAUCUAAAAUCCUAGGACUAGCUCUCAAACGAGUUUCCAGCUUCAUCGUGGAUUAGACGCAAUAAGCAUUUAAAUAUAAGUGAUUGAAUAUCCUUAUUGAGAAAAUACAGAUAGAAAUUAUUCUUUUCCCUUAAGCACCUUUUAGCUAAACAAUUUCCAAAAGCUACACAUGAUAAGUCAAGAAUAAUUGAUAUUCAAGUUAAGUCUUCCUAAGAUUGCUUGCUCAAGCACCACCAUUUGAUUGAAUUUCACAGACCUCUUUCAUAUCUAGCCAGAAUCCUGGCCCAAAUUCAACAUUCCACUUCCAAAAAAUGUAUCACUAUACUCAUAACUUUGAUGCUUGAAGUGCAAGAAUAAAGAAGCAUAUAUACUAAACAUUAGCAUUAUGCUCAAUUUCAGGUUGUGGCAGAAAUUUCAAGUAUUUACCCUAAAGAUACAGAGGCACCACCUGCAGGGGUUGAUGACAUGACCAAGCUUGCAUACCUCCAUGAACCCGGAGUCCUUUAUAACCUUUUGUGUCGUUUUUCACUCAACGAAAUAUAUGUAAGUCACAACCAGAUAAUCAACUUCUCAAUAUAUAUCUCUGGGUUAAAUAUGUUUAGUCCCUGUAAUGCUCUCCAAUUAAUACGCACUUUUCAGUCCUUACAAAUUACAAAACCGUAUACAUAUUGAUUAAAGGAGUAACAUCUGACCAGUAUUAAUGAAAUAAGCAGACGUAUACAGGGAAUAUCUUGAUUGCGGUGAAUCCUUUUCGUAGACUACCACACUUGUAUGACAGCCAUAUGAUGGAGCAGUACAAAGGAGCAGCAUUUGGAGAGCUUAGUCCUCAUCUUUUUGCUGUAGCAGACACAUGUUACAGGUAUAGAUCAAUGUAGAAAUAGAUUUUGUUGUCUGUCACAGGUAACUUAGAAAUCAAUUUAUUACUAGAGUAAACUAACUAGUUUAAUAUAUCAGAGCAAUGAUGAAUGAAAAUGGAAGUCAAUCCAUUUUGGUAAGUGGAGAAAGUGGAGCUGGUAAAACCGAGACGACUAAAAUGCUUAUGAGAUAUCUAGCUUUCAUGGGAGGUAGAUCGAAUACCGAAGGAAGGACAGUAGAACAGCAAGUUUUGGAGGUGAGAUUGAAUUAUUGAACUAAGUAAAAGUUACAAAUUUGUUUCUUGGUUAACUCAAAUAUAUAGUAAUUGCAUUAUAAAUUCAUCAGUCCAAUCCAGUGUUGGAAGCAUUUGGAAAUGCCAAAACUGUGAAAAACAACAAUUCAAGGUAAAUAUUGUAUAGAUAUUUUCUUAAGCCAUAUAUAUUCCCAGCAUAAUUUCCAUUUGAAUUUGUUUUACAAAAUUAUUGAAUUUUUUGGCAGUCGUUUUGGUAAGUUUGUUGAAAUUCAAUUUGACAAGAAUGGGAAGAUUUCUGGAGCUGCGAUCCGUACGUACCUCCUUGAAAGAUCUCGUGUUUGCCAAGUUUCUGACCCGGAGAGAAACUAUCAUUGCUUUUACAUGCUUUGUGCAGCUCCGCAAGAGGUAACCUUUUUAUAACCAUCAUGAAAAAAUUAGUAAUAUAUGACUAAGGGUUAAACGGAUACCAAACCCUGGUGAAGGAGAAAAUAUUAACGGUUAAAAUUUGCUUGAUAGGAUGUUAAGAAGUACAAGUUAGGGGAUCCAAGGAAAUUUCGCUAUCUUAAUCAAUCAAGUUGUUAUGAAGUGUCAAAUGUAGAUGAUGCAAAAGAAUACUUAGAGACAAGAAAUGCAAUGGAUAUUGUAGGCAUCAACCAGGAUGAGCAGGUAUGUAUUACGUCAAAGUGCAUCACAGUUUCAUGAAGCAUUGAUUUGUGUUUGUGAAGACAUGAUCGAACAAAAUUCUCUCCACAGGAUGCUAUCUUCCGUGUUGUAGCUGCAAUUCUUCAUCUCGGAAACAUUGACUUCGUCAAAGGGAGCGAAUUUGAUUCUUCCAAAUUGAAAGAUGACAAAUCACUCUACCACCUUCGAACAGUUGCCGAGUUAUUCAUGUACAAGCUUUGAUCCGACUGUCAAAUUCAUAUAAAUCCAAAGCUUGGCCAUCAUUGUCUCUUAACAUGUUUAUGUUCAGGUGUGAUGAGAAAUCGCUAGAAGACUCACUUUGCCAGCGCGUCAUUGUUACCCCUGAUGGAAACAUUACGAAACCACUAGACCCUGAUGCAGCUUCUUUGAGCCGAGAUGCUUUGGCGAAGACUGUUUACUCCAGAUUGUUUGAUUGGUAAUUAACCAUAUAUUUGAACUGAAUUAACCAUGUAAUAAAGGAUUUACAGUGCGUACGGUGUCUAUCAAAAUUUUGUAUCAAAAUAACACUUUUCUAAAGUAUGCACUCUUCUAAUAUGGCAGGAUUGUGGAUAAGAUUAACAGUUCAAUUGGUCAAGACUCUAAUGCAGUUAGCCUAAUAGGAGUUCUUGACAUUUAUGGAUUUGAAAGUUUCAAAAUCAACAGGUAAGUAUGAGAAUUAUAUCUGUCAGAAAACAAUUUAUACAUCUCUAUAUUAUAAUAUUAUUUGUUCUCUAUUUACAGUUUUGAGCAACUAUGCAUCAACUUAACAAAUGAGAAGUUACAACAACAUUUUAAUCAGGCAAGGUUAUAACUUCUAAAUACCGUUUGCGCAUCAUUAUUGUUCCAAAUGAAUAAUAAUAUAGAAAUACUGUUUCAAUUUCAACAGCAUGUAUUCAAGAUGGAGCAAGAAGAGUACACAAAAGAGGAAAUUGAUUGGAGCUAUGUAGAAUUUGUGGAUAAUCAGGAUGUUCUUGAUCUUAUUGAGAAGGUAAUUACUAAUUAGAGACUUAUUAUGUAUCAACAUUGGUUGUACAUGAACUUGUCUACCAAAUAAAAUUCUGAAACUCUUUAUUUGUCCUGAAUGCAAAAACCUGGUGGAAUUAUUGCGCUUCUUGAUGAAGCAUGGUAUGUCAUUUCUUACUGAAAAAUCUUUGAAUACAUUCAAAUUUCAAAAUACAUAACCAUAUUUGCUCAUAAUAUGCCUGUAAAAGAUGUAAAAAAACACCAAAAAUUAAAAGAUGAAAAUUUAAUUAUAUUCUUGUUUUUUCAGUAUGUUUCCAAAGUCAACUCAUGAGACUUUUGCACAAAAGAUGUACCAAACAUACAAAGCACACAAGCGGUUCACCAAGCCAAAACUUUCUCGAACAGACUUCAUAGUUAAUCAUUACGCCGGAGAUGUAAGUGUACUAAAUUAUAAAUGAUUUUGUCAAAAACUAAAGAUGAUAACUUCUUGUCACAAAUCCUUUUGAUGUACACAGGUCACAUACCAAGCAGAUUAUUUUCUUGAUAAGAACAAAGAUUAUGUUGUUGCAGAACAUCAAGCUCUUUUAUGUGCUUCAAAUUGCACAUUCGUUGCUAAUCUUUUUCCUCCUUUACCUGAGGAAACAUCAAAGCAAUCAAAAUUCUCUUCCAUUGGCUCACAAUUUAAGGUAAGAAUAUUUUUACAACAUUGAUUUGUUCUGCAUAUUUCCGGAAAUUCUCGAUCCAUGAAUUACUUCUGAAUUAAAUUUUAAUAUCCAGCAACAACUGCAAUCUCUCAUGGAGACACUAAGCACAACAGAACCACAUUACAUAAGGUGUGUGAAACCAAAUACAGUUUUGCAGCCAGGAAUAUUUGAGAACUUCAAUGUCCUAAACCAGUUAAGAUGUGGGGUGAGUUUUUUUCUCUCUCUUUUUCCUAUUGUCUAUUAAAUGUAUGAAUGUUUCGUUAAUUCGAGAAAAUGUCGCCGAAUGACAUUUAUGUCAUUACUCUUGUAGGGAGUACUUGAGGCAAUUAGGAUCAGUUGUGCUGGAUAUCCAACUAAAAGAACAUUUGAAGAGUUCCUUGAUCGAUUUGGAAUGCUAGCACCUGAUGUCCUUGACGGGUAUAUAAGCAUAAACAAAGUACAUGUAUCUUGUCCACAAUUGGACCAAAUACAUGUAUUUUGCUCAUAUUUAAGUCUGGAGUAUUACACAAGGAAAUGAAAAUGUUUUUUUUUUUUUAAUAAAAUUGAUUGUCACCUUCAAGAAAAUGGAGUAAGAAUGAUGAGAUAAAGAUGUAAUACAAGUAUUUUUAUGUUAAUCUUCUUGAAGAUGAACUUGAAAAUAACAAUAGGCAUAACUUAUGGUGUAGCUUAUGUAAUUGAUAAUCAAUUCAGACUCCUUUUAAGAUAAAUACCAUAGAUCUAUAUCUCAUUGUUCUACAAGAUAUAUUUUGUGCUUUGCAAAACAAAAUGAUAAUGAAUGCUUUCGUGUAUGCAGAUCCGAUGAGAAAAAGGCAUCUAUUGCAAUCUGUGAUAAGAUGGGUUUAAAAGGCUAUCAAGUAAGUCUAUACAUGGAAAAAGUUUUAUAAAGAAGCAAAAGGAAUAAUUAAAAAAAAAAUAAAAAAAAAAUCAGGAUUUAUGUAAUAAGCUCUAAUGCAUUUCCUUUAAUGUUUCAAUCAGAUGGGAAAAACAAAGGUAUUCCUCAGAGCUGGUCAGAUGGCCGAAUUAGAUGCACGAAGAGCCGAAGUCUUAGCAAAAGCAGCUAGACUCAUACAGAGACAAAUCCGAACACAUUUAGCCCGAAAAGAGUUCAUCACCAUGAAAAAGGCCACAAUUCAUAUGCAGAAGAUUUGGAGAGGUGUCACCUUUGCACACAAAAAACUAACUUGUAUUCUUAGUACUUGUUCUCCCUUUGCUUAGCUGACUUAUAUUACUUUUCUUCACGCUUCUUAUAUCAGCAAAGCUUGCUCGGGAACUCUAUGACGAUAUGAGGAGAGAAGCAGCUUCUAUCCGGAUACAGAAACAUGUCCGUGCACAUAGAGCAAGGGUGUAUUAUGCAUCAUUGCAAGCAUCAGCUAUUGUUAUUCAAUCAGGGUUGAGAGCAUUAGCUGCACGAAACGAAUAUAGGUACCGAAGAAGAACAAAGGCUUCAACCAAAAUUCAGGUAAAGACAACAUUAUAAGGAAUACAUAACACGAACAUAGAUCAUGACAUAGAUAUAAAAAUGCUCAUCUAAAUUAUCAUCAAUAAAAAUUUGAAGAAGCUUGGGACACAAGUAAAAAUAAUAUCAAAUUAUAAUACUUUAACUUUUCAUUGAUAAUUCUCAUUAUUCAAAUUUAUUUAUUCUUACAGACACAAUGGAGAAAAGUUCAAGCUCUUUGUAGUUACAAACAGCAGAAGAAAUCAACUGUUAUACUUCAAUGUUUGUGGAGAGCUAAAGUUGCACGAAAAGAGCUCAGAAAGCUUAAAAUGGUGAGUUUCUGUUCGAACGAAGUGUGUUCUAACAGUUUUACUUCUUUGUAUCCUUUUCUAGAAUUUUACGCCAAUUCUUGUAGAAUAUCUAUAGUAACAAUUUAAAGUUAUUGUGCAGGCUGCAAGGGAAACUGGAGCACUUAAGGAAGCAAAAGACAAAUUGGAGAAACGUGUUGAGGAGCUUACAUGGAGACUAGAUGUUGAAAAGCACAUGAGGGUAUGUAUAGACUCUCAAAUACUUCACUGUCAUAAACACUGCAUGGAUUCAACAAAAAAAAAUUAUUUUGAUUAAUAUUAAAAGGUUUAAGGGCUGGUUUACUAUAAGAAAAUAUUUUGUUGAAAGCUUAUGUGUUGUAAGAAAAUAGCUUAGAGUUGUUCGAUCGCGGUUUCAUCCUUAUUUGAGCGAUUGAAAAUAGUUGAACCAUGACCUAGUUUGAUGUCCAGUUUGAUUUUUAAAACAUUGAUUGAAAUCAACCUCCAACAUUUUAAGUAAAAAUGAAAAUGGAAAUACGACCCUUACUUUCAUUCAAAAUAAUUUUUCUUUAACAUUUUAAUUUAGAGGUUAACUAUUGAGUACAUACUAUUCAAGAUAGUAGCGAGAAGAGAAACCUUAAUUAUUCAUGCAACAUUUUAUCUAACCUGAAAAAUAUAAAAUGCAGGUUGACCUUGAAGAAGCUAAGGGGCAAGAGAUUUUGAAAUUACAAAAUGCAUUACAAGAAAUGCAAGGUCGGUUAGAUGAAGCUCAUGCUGCAAUUAUACAUGAAAAAGAAGCAGCAAAAAUAGCAAUUGAAGAAGCACCACCAGUAAUAAAAGAGGUACCUGUUGUGGAUAAUACCAAGCUGGAGAUUCUGUCACAUAAAAAUGAGGAACUGGAGGUAAAUCUGAAACUUUUGUCACAUUGAUAUUUAGAAUAUUUUACUUUCACUAUUAAAAUCACAGGACUGUAAAAAUAGAUUAGUAAACAGUUCCAGUAUGCUAUAUUUCUUUGUUUAUAUUUUGUCGAUGAGGUGUCAGGUCAAUAAUAAUAUUUUUACUUUGUAACCUCAAGGAACCGAAUUCAAUUCCAAUAUGGUAUUGACACGUUAGAAUAAAAAAUACCUGUUUCUGAAAACCUGAUCGUGUAUAAAUAAUUUUCACUUGACACAUACUAUGAUGACAAGAAAUUGUAUUGAAAUUCUUAAAAUACAGAGCGAAGUAGAAGAGCUAAAAAACAAGAUCAAAGAAUUUGAAGAAAGGUACACGGAAAUUGAAAGGGAGAAUCAAGCAAGGCUGAAAGAGGCAGAAGAAGCACAGAUUAAAGCAACACAACUUCAGGAGACUAUUGAAAGGUUGUUAAGAAUAUAAUUAACCACAAAUAUAUAUAUAUAUAUAUAUAUAUAUAUAUAUAUAUAUAGACAUACAAACACACAGACACACACACACACACACCAUCAUAAACUGGCAUUGACUAUCUAUUCCUUAUUAUUACAGAUUGGAAUCAAGUUUGUCAAACCUUGAAUCUGAGAAUCAGGUUCUUUGCCAACAGGCUUUGGUGGAAUCAAAAAAUGAAGAUCUCUCUGAAGAGAUCAAAAUGUACGAUCCAAUAUAACAUUUUCAUCAUUUACUAUUACUAUUUUUAUGAUAUUUAGCUGUCAAAAACAAUUAUCAAAAUAAGGCUGCACUUGAGUUCUAUGUAGAACCAACACUUCUUAUUGAAGGCGUGUACAAGUACAAUAUCCGACAUGACACUCACAAGUCACACCUGUGGUUACAUUCAAUCACUUAUGUAUCAACAUGACAGUGAUGGUGUUGUGUUCGGUAUUCUAUACAUUAUUUUAGUGAAGAUUUGAAGCUUUCCACCUAAAUGUCACAGAUUAUUUUUCCGUAUCACAGGCCAUAAUGUUCUUAUAUGUGACAUUAUUUGAUAAUAUUUUUAGGAAGGACUAUUGAAAUAUAAAACUAACAUAAAAAAUUUGAUUCUGUUUCCAGCCUCAAGGAUCAAAUAUCAAAUUUAGAAUCAGAGAAUGAAUGUCUAAGGAGCCAGGCAGCAGUUGUGGUAGAACAGAAAAUUCAUCCAGAAAAAACAGAAACGGAUCAGGAGGUUUCUGUUGUACAACAGAUUCAACCAAGAUCUAUUGAAGAUAACAUGACAACACAAAUCAAGGUACAAUACUUUGAUCUUUCCCUUAUAAUCAUUUCAUCAUGUGACAAUUAUCCUUUAUGAUGCUGCAGGACUUGGACAAUGGAAAUAAAACAGAAGAAGAAAUGCAUGCGAAAAAAGUAUUUCGAUCUUACUACAAUUAUUCUUUAAGAAAUUUUGUGCAAGUGAUUCAUAACAGUGUGUUGAUUUGAAUGAAUUUAAUUAUGUUUUCAGGAACCAAGAGUAGCUGUUUCCUUUCUUACAAAGCAAAGA